GAUGAAGAACGUAGCGAAAUGCGAUACGUAGUGUGAAUUGCAGAAUUCAGUGAAUCAUCGAAUCUUUGAACGCACAUUGCACCUCUCGGUAUUCCGGGAGGUAUGCCUGUUCGAGCGUCAUUUGUACCCUCAAGCUCUGCUUGGUGUUGGGUGUUUGUUCCGCCUCUGUGUGUGAACUCGCCUCAAAACAAUUGGCAGCCGGCGUACUUGUUUCGGAGCGCAGCACAUUUUGCGAUCCAGAUCAACGUACAGCGGCAUCCAAGAAGCCUUAUUUAACGCUCUUGACCUCGGAUCAGGUAGGGAUACCCGCUGAACUUAAGCAUAUCAAUAAGCGGAGA
rnacentral:misc_RNA from 1 species